UUGGGUCAAGUUAUUAAGGGCGUAUGGUGGAUGCCUUGGUGCCAGGAGGCGACGAAGGGCGCAGCGAGCUGCGAUAAUCUUCGGGUAGCCGCAAGCAGGCGUAGAUCCGGAGGUACCCUAAUGGGGCAACCUGCUGCAGGUAAUUCUGCAGCAUGUCUGGUCCAAAGCCAUUAAACCGGACAGGUGAUACCCGGGGAACUGAAACAUCUUAGUACCCGGAGGAAAAGAAAACAAACGUGAUUCCCUCAGUAGCGGCGAGCGAAGGGGGAACAGCCCAAACCUGUACAGUGCCAAUCCUGCCGGAGUUGCUGUAUGGGGGUUGUGGGACACAGUGUGGGUAAGCGGCAGCUUACCCCAGGAGUUACCAAACCUUACCUUAGCCGAAUCAGUUGGGAAACUGAGCCACAGGAGGUGAAAGCCCUGUAGGCGAAAAGGUGAGGACUUCUGACUGUGCUCCCGAGUAGCGCGGGACACGAGGAAUCCCGUGUGAAGCAGGGAGGUCCACCUUCCAAGGCUAAAUACUACCUGGCAACCGAUAGCGGAUAGUACCGUGAGGGAAAGGUGAAAAGCACCCCUGAAGGGGAGUGAAAUAGAACCUGAAACCAUAUGCCUACAAGCGGUCAGAGCACCAUAAUAUUCUUCAUUGAAUAUUGGUGUGAUGGCGUACUUUUUGUAGAACGGGCCGGUGAGUUACGGUCAGCAGCCAGGUUAAGGGACCAGAUCCCGAAGCCGCAGCGAAAGCGAGUCUGAACAGGGCGAAUUAGUUGCUGGUCGUAGACCCGAAACCGAGUGAUCUACCCAUGGCCAGGGUGAAGCUCGUUUAACCGCGAGUGGAGGCCCGCACCCACCAAUGUUGAAAAAUUGGGGGAUGAGCUGUGGGUAGGGGUGAAAUGCUAAUCGAACUCGGAGAUAGCUGGUUCUCCCCGAAAUAGUUUUAGGGCUAGCCUCAAGGUAAGAAUUACGGAGGUAGAGCACUGAUUGGGCUAGGGGCCCUACAAGGUUACCGAACUCAGUCAAACUCCGAAUGCCGUAAUUUACUCCUUGGGAGUCAGACUAUGGGAGAUAAGUUUCAUAGUCGAGAGGGGAACAGCCCAGACCGUCAGCUAAGGUCCCCAAAUACGGGCUAAGUGGAAAAGGAUGUGGGAUUGCCCAGACAACCAGGAUGUUGGCUUAGAAGCAGCCAUCAUUAAAAGAGUGCGUAACAGCUCACUGGUCAAGUGAUCCUGCGCCGAAAAUUUAGCGGGGCUAAGCCCGUUACCGAAGCUACGGCUUAUUGGAGGUUAGAAGUUAGAAGUUGGAAACUGGAGGUGUGAAUGAUAUAAUUCAAAGCUACCAUGAUUUAGAUGUAUACCAACGUUCAUAUCGUUUGGCCUUGGAUAUACAUCGGAUGUCAUUCACACUGCCAAAAGUUGAGAGGUAUGAGCUGAGCAGUCAGAUAAGACGUUCAGCCGUCAGUAUCCCUUUAAAUAUCGCCGAAGGAUAUGGCAGGAAAGACUCUAAGGCAGAAUUUAAGCACUUUCUAAGAAACAGCUUGGGUUCCUGCAACGAAGUCCAAGUGCUACUCAAUAUGAUUAAAGACUUAAACUAUAUUGACGAAGCAAUUUAUGUAUCCUUUAAGGAAGAAUACGAUAUACUGGGAAAGCAGCUUAAUAAACUGCUUCAAACCUGGCGUAAAAUCCAACCUCCGACCUCUAACCUCUAACCUCCAAUAGGGGUAGGGGAGCGUUCUAAGACUGUGGAAGCCGUACCGUGAGGAGCGGUGGAGGUUUUAGAAGAGAGACUGCCGGCAUGAGUAACGAAAAGGUGAGUGAGAAUCUCACCCGCCGCAAGCCUAAGGUUUCCUGAGGAAGGUUCGUCCGCUCAGGGUAAGCCGGGACCUAAGCCGAGGCCGAAAGGCGUAGGCGAUGGACAACUGGUUGAAAUUCCAGUGCCACCUGUAGCCGUUAUGAGCGAAGGGGUGACGCAGGAGGGUAGGUACAGCGCACCGUUGGUUGAGUGCGUCCAAGCGUGUAGGUAGCAGGGACAGGAAAAUCCGUUCCUGUGUUGAUCCGAGGCGCGAUGGGGAGCGAAAAACAAGUAGCGAACUGGCCGAACCCACACUGCCUAGAAAAGCCUCUAGCCAGGCUUACGGGUGCCCGUACCGCAAACCGACACAGGUAGGUGAGGAGAGGAUCCUAAGGCGCUCGGGAGAACCCUCGUUAAGGAACUCGGCAAACUGACCCCGUAACUUAGGGAGAAGGGGUGCCCCGUUAAGGUGAAAGGACUUGCUCCUGGAGCCUGAGGGGGUCGCAGAGAAUAGGCCCAAGCGACUGUUUACCAAAAACACAGGUCUCUGCUAAGUCGAAAGACGAAGUAUAGGGGCUGACGCCUGCCCGGUGCUGGAAGGUUAAGGGGACGGGUUAGCACUUAGGUGCGAAGCUCAGAACCUAAGCCCCAGUAAACGGCGGCCGUAACUAUAACGGUCCUAAGGUAGCGAAAUUCCUUGUCGGGUAAGUUCCGACCCGCACGAAAGGCGUAACGACUUGGGCGCUGUCUCAACGAGGGACCCGGUGAAAUUGUAAUACCUGUAAAGAUACAGGUUACCCACGACAAGACGGAAAGACCCCGUGGAGCUUUACUGUAGCCUGAUAUUGGAUUCUGGUAUUGGAUGUACAGGAUAGGUGGGAGGCUUAGAAAUGUGGGCGCCAGCCUGCAUGGAGCCAUCCGUGGGAUACCACCCUUCCAGUAUUGGAAUUCUAACCGCGAGCCGUUAUCCGGUUUCGGGACAGUGUCAGGUGGGCAGUUUGACUGGGGCGGUCGCCUCCCAAAGAGUAACGGAGGCGUCCAAAGGUCUCCUCAGCGCGGUUGGGAAUCGCGCGCAGAGUGCAAAGGCAUAAGGGGGCUUAACUGCGAGAGAGACGUCUCGAGCAGUAACGAAAGUUGGGCUUAGUGAUCCGGCGGUACCAAGUGGUAGGGCCGUCGCUCAACGGAUAAAAGCUACCCCGGGGAUAACAGGCUUAUCUCCCCCAAGAGUCCACAUCGACGGGGAGGUUUGGCACCUCGAUGUCGGCUCAUCGCAUCCUGGGGCUGUAGUAGGUCCCAAGGGUUGGGCUGUUCGCCCAUUAAAGCGGUACGUGAGCUGGGUUCAGAACGUCGUGAGACAGUUCGGUCCCUAUCUGUCGUGGGCGUAGGAAACUUGAGGAGAUCUGUCCCUAGUACGAGAGGACCGGGAUGGACGGACCGCUGGUGUAUCAGUUGUUCCGCCAGGGGCAAUGCUGAGUAGCCAAGUUCGGAAGGGAUAAGCGCUGAAGGCAUCUAAGCGCGAAGCCUUCUCCAAGAUAAGGUUUCCCACCCGUAAAAGGGUUAAGACCCCAGGUAGAUGACCUGGUAGAUAGGCCGGGAGUGUAAGGGCAGCAAUGUCUUUAGCGGACCGGUACUAAUAGGUCGAGGACUUGACCCAUAC
rnacentral:rRNA from 1 species